GUCAUCAGAGGUGGCCUGAGGGUCAUCCAACGUGGUCCAGAGUGGCCUGAGGGUCACUCCAGCGUGGUCCAGACUGGCCUGAGGGUCAUUCAAGGUGGCCCAAGGGUCAUCCAGAAUGGUCCAUAGUGGCCCAAGGGUCACUCCAGGUGGUCCAGGGUGGCCUGAGGGUCACUCAAGGUGGCCCAAGAGUCGUCCAGUGUUGACUGAGGUCCAUCCGUCGUCGUCCCGUGUAGCCCAAGGUUCAGCCGGUGGGGUCCAGGGUGGCCGAGGGUCACUCGGGGUGGCCGAGGGACAUCUGAGGUGGCCGAGGGACAUCUGAGGUGGUCCAGAGUGACCUGAGGGACAUCUGGGGUGGCCUGAGGGUCAUUUGACGUGGUCCAGAGUGGCCUGAGGGUCAUCCAGAGUGGCCCAAGGUCCAUUCCAGGUGGCCCAAGGUCCAUCCAACGUCAUCCAAGGCUCAUCCAUCCACGGCUGAGGUCCAUCCCAGGAGAUCCGAGGUGGCCCAAGGUCCAUUUGAGGUGGCCCAAGAUCCUUCCCAGGAGAUCUGAGGUUGCCCAAGGUCCAUUUGAGGUGGCCCAAGGUCCAUCCGAGGUGGCCCAAGGUCCAUUUGAGGUGGCCCAAGGUCCUUCCCAGGAGAUCUGAGGUUGCCCAAGGCCCGUCCAAGGUGGCCCAGAGUCCACCCGAGGUUGCCCAAGGCCCUUCUGAGGUUGCCCAAGGCCCUUCUGAGGUUGCCCAAGGCCCACCCGAGGUUGCCCAAGGCCCACCCGAGGUUGCCCAAGGCCCACCCGAGGUUCCCGCGGCUCCUCGAGCCCCAAAUCCCGGGAUUCCACCCCAAAGCACUUCCGGGCGGGGGGGGAGGAGCCUCAGACGCCCCUCCCCCACCCCAGGGGGGCCGA